CCUUGAGCCGGAGCCAAAUAGGAGGGUGUGUAAGUGCUGGGGUGAAGGUACUGGAACAGACUGGACACAUUCUGAGGAGGUCUCACGGAGGAAGUUUCCUGAGACAUCUGAAUAACAAGGGAGAGUCACUUUAGCAGCUUCCCAGUUCAAGCCACCACGUACUUGAAGGCUCUGGAAAACGCUGGACCUCAUUAGAGUCUUCAGGAAGCAACAGGCCAGAUUACCUUUCCUGUCAGAGACUCAGAUCUCUCACCAAUACCUGUGGGAAGAAAGAGGACAAUGUAGGUGUCCCUGCUUUGCAUCUAGAGAACAUGAAGUCAGAGAGACACAGAAGAACUUACUCUGGAAUUACAAAGGGAAAAAAGAGAGGAAGAGAAACAUCUAUGUGUGGCUGCCUCUCACGCACCCCCUACUGGAACCUGGCCUGCAACCCAGUUGCAGAUAUAGUCCAGUCACAUCUAAAAUGGCACACCUCCCAGGCUCCCGAAGACCUAGGAACACCGGCAGGCCAAUACCACCUACUCCACCCUCGUCUGCUCAGCCUCAUACCCAAAGCCCCAACAGAUUAAGUCAGCAAAUCGGUAAAUCUCAGCUAGAUAAGUAAAUAUGUAUUUAAAAUUUCCAAGCCUAUGAGAUCACAAAAUAAUAUAGAAGCAAGAAACUAAGCAAAGCAAAUGCUAUAAAAUACAACAGGAAUAAAUGACUGUAAGAAAAAAAUAACCUUCCAGCAAGAAGGGGCUGGAAAGGGUAUUCCAAGUCAUGAAAUCCAAAGACCUACAACCAAGAUUGCUCUAUCCAGCAAAGCUUUCAUUUAGAAUGGAAGGACAGAUAAAGUGCUUCUCAGAUAAGAUCAAAUUCAAGGAGUUCAUCAUCACCAAACCCUUAUUAUAUGAAAUCCUAAAGGGACUUAUCUAAGAAAAAGAAGAUAAAAAAUAUGAACAGUGAAAGGACAGCAAACUCACAGUUAUUAACAACCACACCUAAAACAAAAGCAAACUAAGAGGACAGCUAGAU